rnacentral:rRNA from 1 species
GUGCCAGCAGCCGCGGUAAUACGGAGGGUGCGAGCGUUAAUCGGAAUUACUGGGCGUAAAGCGCGCGUAGGUGGCUUGGCACGCCGGUUGUGAAAGCCCCGGGCUCAACCUGGGAACGGCAUCCGGAACGGCCAGGCUAGAGUGCAGGAGAGGAAGGUAGAAUUCCCGGUGUAGCGGUGAAAUGCGUAGAGAUCGGGAGGAAUACCAGUGGCGAAGGCGGCCUUCUGGACUGACACUGACACUGAGGUGCGAAAGCGUGGGUAGCAAACAGGAUUAGAUACCCUGGUAGUCC